rnacentral:lncRNA from 1 species
GAGACUCCGUGGGCGUAGGACCCUCAGAGCCAGUGAGAUGAACCCGGUACCUCAGAUGGAAAUGCAGAAAUCACCCGUCUUCUGCGUCGCUCACGCUGGGAGCUGUAGACCGGAGCUGUUCCUAUUCGGCCAUCUUGGGGGAGCUCGAGAUUAUUAACCAAAAAAUUUCCUGUCCAAAAGCUGUGUUCUUUAGUGGGAAAGUCUUGCAGAACUCCCCUCUGAACUAAUACUGGAAGCAAAGAAGUAAGACAUAUCAAGAUUUAAAACAUAAAUAGCUUGGAACACCCUGAAGAGCAACAUGGGAGAAACUGAGAAAAGAAUUGAAACCCAUAGAAUAAGAUGUCUUUCCAAGUUGAAGAUGUUUCUGUUGGCAAUAACAUGUGCAUUUGUAUCCAAAACACUGUCUGGAUCUUAUAUGAAUUCCAUGCUCACACAAAUAGAGAGACAAUUCAACAUCCCAACAUCUCUAGUUGGAUUCAUUAAUGGAAGCUUUGAGAUUGGAAAUCUUUUGUUGAUUAUAUUUGUGAGUUAUUUUGGAACCAAACUGCAUAGACCUAUAAUG